UGCAAGUCGAGCGAACCCUUCGGGGUUAGCGGCGGACGGGUGAGUAACGCGUGGGAAUAUGCCCUUCUCUACGGAAUAGCCUCGGGAAACUGAGAGUAAUACCGUAUACGCCCUUCGGGGGAAAGAUUUAUCGGAGAAGGAUUAGCCCGCGUUGGAUUAGGUAGUUGGUGGGGUAAAAGCCUACCAAGCCGACGAUCCAUAGCUGGUUUGAGAGGAUGAUCAGCCACACUGGGACUGAGACACGGCCCAG
rnacentral:rRNA from 1 species